UAUGGAAGGACACUCAAAAACCAGGAGACCAAUUUUUCCAAUCAGAGCUAGUGGAACUGGAGCCCAGAGUGCAAACACGCAUGAUGAUCUGUUUGCAGAGCUGCUACAGACCCAGAUGAUUGAUAGGGAAUGUUAAGAAGGAAGAAAACUGGCAUGAGGCCCUCCUCCCCUCCUUGAUGAUGGAGAAGCAGUCACACACACUGGAGCAUAAAGGAAUCACCACUGUCAUGCAGACAAGAUCAAGGUGCCUGUUCCAGACUCGUGGAGAGGAGCUUCCUCCCACUCACCAGCCAGCAUGACUCUGAUGAAGCCAGACCCUCUCCCAUGGGAGAAGACAACUGCACUGUGAGGCCCUGCCACCAGCCCUGUCACUCAGGCUCUGCCAUGCCAGAGAACAGAUGUCUGCUCUCAGCCCUAAUGCAUUGUGGACCUAAUCAGUUCUUAGAUUAUCACUCUAAUUCCUGUAACUGCUUCCACUUCAUCCAGGAAAAGAAGACAGGUGAGAGAUGAAUCUGUGAGAAAGGAGUAACCUUUACACAACCAUUCUGGGUGGCAGGUAUAUGCUGACUCAUGGAAUUAUGAAAAGAUAUAGAUGAUGUAGUUCUGAAAAUAGCACUGUAUUUAUGAACAAGUCUCUGAGAGUUUAUGGCAUGAUUAAAUCUAGCGAUUAAAGUUUCUUAUGCAAAACCUUCUGUCAGGAACGGCUGAGCAAUCCAUGUAUUCCGAAGCAUAGAUACUGUUUUCUCCCAUAACAUCUGACACAAGAGAUUUCCAUUUUAGAUGUGUGAUUCGUUAUUUAAAGACAAAGCAAGAGGUUUACUUUUUGCUAUUGAGCUUAAAGGUUCAUCACAGUUUUAAGAUAAAUGUGAAAAAGAAUACGCAAACAGAAUUAAAUGUAAGUGAAUAAGUUGAGCAGUGGUGCUUAAGGGCUGUGAGUUGUCAAAUCUACCCCCACCAUUAUCAGUGUUUAUGAGUAUCUGAAGAAUAUGAACAAAGAGAAGCAUGAGAAAUUGAUUAAGGAAGGCAUCUAAAGAAAUGGUACAAUAUUAAGCAAACAAGAUUUAGAAAGAAAAUUGGGAAAAGAUUCCUAAUGACGAAAAUUUCCUUACUGAAGGGUAACUCCACAAUGGAACUUCUGUAAUGUCUAUUGUUCCAAUCAUUUGAAAAUGAACUUGAAUGAAGUACAGGCAGAUUUAUCUAAAGACAUAAUUAGUCUUUUACA
rnacentral:lncRNA from 1 species